rnacentral:rRNA from 1 species
CAAUAGCGUAUAUUAAUGUUGUUGCAGUUAAAAAGCUCGUAGUUGGAUUUCUGAUGGGAGCCCUGGUCACUUUAACGAGUGUACUGAUGUGGCGUCCUGUCGUUUCAUGGGGAUGCUUGCUGGUAUUAAGUUAUCGGCUUGUGGAUCCAUGUCGUUUACUGUGAAAAAAUUAGAGUGUUCAAAGCAGGCCAUCGCUGUGAAUACAUUAGCAUGGAAUAAUAAGAUAGGACUGUGGUGCUAUUUUGUUGGUUUGCGUACUACGGUAAUGAUUAAUAGGGAUAGUUGGGGGUAUUCAUAUUCAAUUGUCAGAGGUGAAAUUCUUGGAUUUAUGGAAGAUGAACUACUGCGAAAGCAUUUACCAAGGAUGUUUUCAUUA